CCCUCCUUAGGCAACCUGGUGGUCCCCUGCUCCUGGGAGGUCACCCUAUUGAUGCCAAACUUAGUACAGACACCCAAUCAGCAUAGUGCACUAGAGCCCAGAACUCCUGGGCUCGAGUGAUCCUCCCACUUCAGCCUCCUGAGUAGCUGGGACUCAGGUACAUGCCACCAACUCCUCUUGCUUUUUUCCUGAACUUUCUCCUCCCUCCUUUCCUCCCCAUUUCUCCAGUUUCAUUUCCACCUCUUUCCUCUCCUCCUCCUUCUCACCUCCCUCUUGCUUCCCUGUCUCUCCUCCUUGGGUCUCUUCCUUCCUUCUCUCUGGUUUCUCUGUCUCUGCCCCGUCCUUUCCUUUCCCUCUUCCCUGGACCUGUCUCCUCUCCUUGCUCCUUCUCCCUCUCUCCCUCUCUCUCUCUCUCCCCUCCAGACCUCCCACUCCCACUGGCCUCCCUCCUCCAUCUCCAGAUGGCCCCUGCAUCCCUGCCCCGUGGGCCUUUGUCUCCCUCUCCUAUUCCUGCCUUGGCUGCUCCCAGGUCCUGACCAGGAGGCAGGAGUCCACACUGAGUCCCAAACAGGCUAGCCCUGAGCAGGCCCUAAGCCUGAGGCCCAGGAGUGGAACAGACACCUUUGUGACUCCCAUUCUCUCUCUCUUUUCCAUCUGUCUGGAACUCUGGACACUACCUGGAGGAAUCAGACCUGCCGUAGGCCCAGGAAGGCAGAAAGAAGGAAAAUGCUCAGAGACAGGAAGAAACUUGCCUAAAGAUACACAGCAUAUGAGAAAGUCGGUGCCCAGCGUUUCUGAAGAGCAGCAACUGCUAGGACAGGGACUUGGAAGGAACCCGACAAUACCUGAGGGACCAACAGCACUCCCUGAAGGACAUGGAGAGAAGCCACAGGAGCCAAUCUGAGGCAUUCUGAGUGCGUGGAAUCUUCUCUCACCACCUACUGGCAAAUAAUGGAACUGCAACCCAGCUGUAUGAGACACUGACAAUGAUCCCAACAAAAAGGAACAGUGACCAGAAUGCCUGGGGGAGGAACAGGGGAUACUGGGUGAAAGGAGGGGAGAGGGAGAAUUUGUAACAUUUUUUAAAAAUGAACAUUUUUACUCCUAAUCAAUAUAUAAACAUGCUCAGCAAACUGG